rnacentral:rRNA from 1 species
CUCCAGACUCCUACGGGAGGCAGCAGUGGGGGAUAUUGCACAAUGGGGGGAACCCUGAUGCAGCGACGCCGCGUGGGUGAAGGAGUAUUUCGGUAUGUAAAGCCCUAUCGGCAGGGAAGAAGCAAGACGGUACCUGACUAAGAAGCCCCGGCUAACUACGUGCCAGCAGCCGCGGUAAUACGUAGGGGGCGAGCGUUAUCCGGAUUCACUGGGUGUAAAGGGAGCGUAGACGGCCAAGCAAGCCAGGGGUGAAAGCCCGGGGCCCAACCCCGGGACUGCCCUUGGAACUGCUUGGCUGGAGUGCGGGAGGGGCAGGCGGAAUUCCUGGUGUAGCGGUGAAAUGCGUAGAUAUUAGGAGGAACACCGGUGGCGAAGGCGACUAUCUGGCACAUAACUGACGCUGAGGAGCGAAAGCGUGGGUAGCAAACAGGAUUAGAUACCCGGGUAGU